UCCUAGCCCUGAUGGAAGCGAUAUCCUUUAGUGUCUCUUUUUUAGAGACACUAAAGAUAUAGCGGACAGCAGGACAACUG
rnacentral:sRNA from 1 species